rnacentral:rRNA from 1 species
AUUGAACGCUGGCGGCAGGCCUAACACAUGCAAGUCGAGCGGAUGAAGGGAGCUUGCUCCUGGAUUCAGCGGCGGACGGGUGAGUAAUGCCUAGGAAUCUGCCUGGUAGUGGGGGAUAACGUCCGGAAACGGGCGCCAAUACCGCAUACGUCCUGAGGGAGAAAGUGGGGGAUCUUCGGACCUCACGCUAUCAGAUGAGCCUAGGUCGGAUUAGCUAGUUGGUGGGGUAAAGGCCUACCAAGGCGGCGAUCCGUAACUGGUCUGAGAGGAUGAUCAGUCACACUGGGAGUGAGAGACGGUCUAGAGACUUAGGGGCGGCCCAGGUGGGGAAUAGUGGAAGAUGGGGGGAAGACUGAUCAAGCCAUGCAGGGCGUGUGCAGAAGGGCUUCGGAGUGUAAAGCACCUUACGGGGGGGGGAAGGGUAGUAAGUUAAUCCAUGGCUGUUUUGACGUUACCAAGAGAAUAAGCACCGGCUAACUUCGUG